ACAUACCAAUAGUAUUAGGAUGCUUUUUGCUGCAUAACAGAAAACACGAAUAACCUCUUAUUGUAUAUUUUUCUUAUAUAACAAGAACUCUAGAGGGAGGAGCUCUAGAGUUGGUCAGGGAUAAAUGAUGUCAAGGGGCAGAUUAUCUAGGAUUCUUUUAGCAUUCUGUGUGGGUAGAAGCAUUAAUGCUGUUGUUGUCAUAGCCAUAUCCUUAUGGUAGCAUAUGAAGCAGAAAAGAGGCAGGAAAAAUAACUCUCCUUGUGUGACAUUCUCUUUUUAUUUGGAGAGAAAUAACUGCAUUUCAGAGUUAAUGGGAUCUGAACCUAAUACAAUUUUAGGAUCUUCUUUAAGAAAAGCAGAAAAAUAUUAAAAUUAAAAACGGGGCACAGGGCUUUGACUGGAGUCAUUGUGAGUGUUGGCCUCUAAACUUCCUGGUAAAUCAAGCCUCUGUUGAAUUUCUUUUGUUUCAGUGGUUGGACUGAGUCCCAUGAAGCCAGAUAACUUCUGACUGCAAGGAGCUUGGAAAAGCAAGUAUCUGGAUCUUUUACCAGCUAAAUUUGGAGAUAGGUAUCUACCAGACUGGGGAAGAAGAGGAGAAGAAUGGCUGUUGAGUGCAGAUCAAUUUGUUUCCACUGAAGUCUAUGGAUGAAAUAUUUACGCAUAGCCGAGAAUUAUUGAUCAAAUUUGGAUCUCUGUGUGCUGUCCUCCAAUUUAAUACCUUCUCUGUUGCUGUUUUGUUUUCUUUCUUCUGGAACGUGGCAGAGUGCUUCAAGGUGGGUGGCAGAUGUCUGACUCAAUCUUCUACAUUAAUAGGUUUUCUCUGUAUUGUUAUAAUUAAUUUUAAAUUGAUUUUAUAAAAUUUAUAAUUAUAGGAUUUUUUUUCAUGUUCAAUUCCAUUUAAAUUUUUUCCUAUUUGCCCAUUCUUCUUUUUUCUUAUCACUUUGAAUAUACUGGUCUCAC
rnacentral:lncRNA from 1 species